rnacentral:rRNA from 1 species
GACGAACGCUGGCGGCGUGCUUAACACAUGCAAGUCGAACGGAAAGGCCCCCAUCUUGGUGGGGGUGCUCGAGUGGCGAACGGGUGAGUAACACGUGGGUGAUCUGCCCUGUACUUCGGGAUAAGCUUGGGAAACUGGGUCUAAUACCGGAUAGGACCAUGGUUUAGUGUCUCAUGGUGGAAAGAUUAUUGUUUUGGUGCAGGAUGAGCUCGCGGCCUAUCAGCUUGUUGGUGGGGUAAUGGCCUACCAAGGCGUCGACGGGUAGCCGGCCUGAGAGGGUGGACGGCCACAUUGGGACUGAGAUACGGCCCAGACUCCUACGGGAGGCAGCAGUGGGGAAUAUUGCACAAUGGGCGCAAGCCGGAUGCAGCGACGCCGCGUGGGGGAUGACGGCCUUCGGGUUGUAAACUCCUUUCGUUAGGGACGAAGCCGCACUUUUUUUGGGUGUGGUGACGGUACCUUUGUUAAGAAGCACCGGCUAACUACGUG